rnacentral:tRNA from 1 species
GCCUUCGUGGUAUAGUGGUCUGCAUGUUCGACGCGCAACCGAGAGGUCCGUGGUUCGAUUCCCGGCGAAGGCG